AAUUUGCUUUGUCAAUUGGUCAUGGCCCGAGAGAAGGCCUGACAGGAAGGCAAAGGAGGUCUUAUUGCCUUCAGCUAAUCAGUCAGAUGACACACACAGGCCUGCGCUGCCGCCCACAGAGAUCCAGACGGCGCACCACCGGCAGCAGGGCUAUUUGUUAUUGCGCAGAGGGGUCACUUCCCGUCUGGGUCUCAUGGCUUCCGGUUGCAGAGGAUGCUAAGGUAGAGGAGGAGAGAAGAAGGAAUUCCAGUUGUGGAGGUGGGGAAUGGAGGAUAGCAGGACCACAAAAAUAGAAAACCUGAAGUCUGUUUCCAGUUUCCAUGGAAAGAAAUAGGAGACGUUACUUUUGGAGCAACCUAUGUAUAUGUGGUACAAUUUCUCUUCACCCAGUGUGGCCCAGGCAAGCCAAAAGGUUGGACACCCAUGGUCUAAAACCUUUGUGGAAGUAUGGAAGUGGCAGCCGGGAAACAGCAAACUAGUGAACCUUGCAAGGCUUGCAGAAUCUGCAUCUGCCCUGGAUGUUUGCUCUCAAGACUGUGCUCCAUGCUGCCUCUGUUGGUGUAACUUGACAUCCUCAUGGCAUCACAUCAGCUUCAGGCUCUUAGAGAGAUCAGAGUGGGAGAAGGAGAAAGCAUAGGUGAGAGGAAAGAAAGUGAGGAAGAAACAAAAGAGAAGAAGAGGUCCUGAAGGUCUGGUCUCAGACUGGACCCAGCAGUGCUGGAAAUCUGGUUUGCUCUCUCCAGUAUCAGCCAUAUUCCAAUUCACCUGGCCAGGGAAAAGCAUCUGUGUUUGGUGAGUGCUUGUGUCUGGGCAGCUCUCUUGUAGGCAGGAAUGAGGAGAUUAGUUUCUCUCUUUUUCAGAGUGGGAGAAGGUCUAAUGGAAGCAGAGGGUUUCAAAGUCCUGCAGAUAGCACAGCUAACUCUACUGUACUAUACUGCCUUCUACCUUCUUGUUUUUCUCAGUGAAGGCAUGUGAGAUUAUGGUAUUGGAAGAUGAAGAUCCAGGCAGAUCUGCUGAAACCCAAAGCCUAAGAGGACUUUGGUAUCAUGGGACUGGUGACAUACAUUCUCCCAUUCUCUUCGAAAUCAAGUUAAAUUUAUUGGAAAAUUUAUUGUGAGGGGAUCACUGUACAUGAAUGCCAUUGAUUACUGUCAGGUGUUGCAGCAUAUUUCCAGCUGGAGAGGGGCCAGAUUGAGGUCAUGGCAACUGUAAGAUCCUCCCCCACUGAUAAAAUCUACAUUUACCCUAUAUGCCCUCCUCCCACUGCUUAACAUGGCGCUAACUCCUGUGUAAGUACGUACUUGCUCCUAUUUUGAUUGUGCCUCCCUGUAUAAUGGAUAUCAAAAUAUACGGAUGUAAAAACAGCUAAGCAAGGGUAAGCUACUUCAUUGUGGAAACUUGCAAUGGAACACAAGAAAUAGCCUUACAAGUACUCUAGGCUAGGUGGACAGAAAUUGACAUGUAUUCUACUGAUAAAAAUCACAGAAUCAUAGAUAGUAUCAGCUUUGUACAUUUCCAGCAGGCAAGUAAGGGUUUAUGAUCCAUAACUGUACUUUUCUGCUUCCCAGCACAUUAUUCUUUUAUGCCAGAGGCAUCAAGUAAAGGAGCAUGGAAUCUAGGGUGAAUGUGAAACACAUUGAAAAUACAACAUUUCUAGCAGCUCUGUUUAACAAAGAUAACAGCUGUUUGUGUCAUGGUUUUAAUCCAGGGACAGAUCAUGAAGUGACUAGCUAGUGAAGCACCACUUUAGGUCUCCCUAUUUUUCUGCCUGGCUUAACUGUAUUGUAGAUUUUCUCUUGGGCUAAACCAUGUAAUCGCUCCUCACCUGGUUACCAUAUCAGUAAAGCAGAAUUAAUAAUAAUUCUUUUUUCUUAUCUGUGUAGGUCUUGAGAUUAAUCUUCAAGAAAUGGCUAACUCUUACUGCUUAUAUGCAGUGUUUUCUACAGUGUCAUCGUGUUUUGAACUGGACCCUUUCAGAGAGCUAAUUAGUUGUAUUAUAAUCAUGCCUGGCUGGUUCCACGCUCUGAAAGACAUGUCAGCAGUUGUUUAAUUUGUUAGUUUCUGCAUUAUUCUGAGCUCUGUGGGGUAAACUCUGGAACAAUUAGGGGAGUAGCUGCCAUGGCAAAGUAAUUCUUGUUCUUAUAUCUACACUUGCACAAAAUAUGAUGGGAAUCAGAGAGGCUUGAAUCUGCUGUAUGAACACUGCAAUAGUGGUCACACAUGUAUUUUACUACUACAUUUCACCCCACAGUUUAAUGUGUUCCCAGAAAUCUUGCAUUAAUACUUGACUAGGAAUCAGUUGCAGAUCAAUCUGUUGCUUAUGUAAUUCUGAGCUUCACUGCACUUUUAGGUCAAUUCAGGAUUUAGGAUCUCAUGUAAAUAGCAUAUUGUCCUACCUUCUCUGAUCCAGUGAUUCUUCUGAAAGGCUGAAGAAUGUGUUAUCUGAUGUUAUCUUCGGACCUCUUAAGGGUGAUUAGGCUUGGGGUCCCAAAUUCCCAGGGAAAGCUGAACAUUUGACAUAGGUUAUAUGAAUGGUUGUGGUGCCUUCAUUCUUUAUGACUUUACAAAGAGCUGCAGAAACUGCACCUAAUGCUAGGUAUGACUGGGAGAUAUUUCUUGACCAAGAGGAGCUUUGAAAACCUCCAAGUUAGUGAGUCACUAAAGUAACAGUUUAACAACUGAAGAGAAAGCCCUCCUGUGAAUAGUGAGUCCUGCCCGUGUUCUGUCCCUAUUUCUCUGUGCUGCACUAAUUACUUAAUUUUGUUCAAAACCACAGCAAGAGCAUCCUUCCCUUACACUGUUAUGCAACUUUUACUUAGUUGCUUUCUGAAAGUCAAAA